AUUCUUCAAAUCAAAUUGAUCACCUUCAUUCUUACCACUUUGCAGGUGCU
rnacentral:antisense_RNA from 1 species